GGAGGGUACAGCUCAGUGGUAGAGCACGUGGUUAGCAUGCAGGAGGCCCUGGGUUCAAUCUCCAGAACCUCCA
rfam:Camelus ferus unplaced genomic scaffold scaffold1024, whole genome shotgun sequence.